rnacentral:lncRNA from 1 species
AAUUUUUUUGUAAUUCAUCACAAACUCGAAUGACACUCACCUUGAAGUUAUUCUCCCGGAUGUAUUGCUUAUAACUUUUACAUUAGCAACUAAGACAAGUUUGAAUCCCUUUAUAAUAAAUUGAGGUCGAAUGCAUCUUCUUAUGCAGAGGCUAGACUUAUUUCCACUAUCAAAAAGAGAACAUAAAAUCACACAUCCGGGGAAAUUAACUGAUCAGAUGUCUACCUGAUCAUACAAAGAUCUUGUCUUUUGUUCCUUGAUCGGAUCUUCGAUCAAGCGCAAAUCGACACUUCUGCACAGUUAAGAAAGUGCAGAAAUAUCGAUCAGCCUAUAAUUACAUUUAUUAACGAGCCGAGAGUCAGAAAAUCCUGUAGAGGUAACGAGACGAGAUGGCAAUUAAUAAUUAACUGGCCGGUGGUCGCUGAUUAUUCGAUCACUCUGCAAAAUUAUCCCUGCACGUUUCAGUGGUGCUGCGGG